GACGAACGCUGGCGGCGUGCUUAACACAUGCAAGUCGAACGGAAAGGCCCUGCUUUUGUGGGGUGCUCGAGUGGCGAACGGGCGAGUAACACGUGAGUAACCUGCCCUUGACUUUGGGAUAACUUCAGGAAACUGGGGCUAAUCCCGGAUAGGAGCUCCUGCUGCAUGGUGGGGGUUGGAAAGUUUCGGCGGUUGGGGAUGGACUCGCGGCUUAUCAGCUUGUUGGUGGGGUAGUGGCUUACCAAGGCUUUGACGGGUAGCCGGCCUGAGAGGGUGACCGGCCACAUUGGGACUGAGAUACGGCCCAGACUCCUACGGGAGGCAGCAGUGGGGAAUAUUGCACAAUGGGCGGAAGCCUGAUGCAGCAACGCCGCGUGCGGGAUGACGGCCUUCGGGUUGUAAACCGCUUUCGCCUGUGACGAAGCGUGAGUGACGGUAAUGGGUAAAGAAGCACCGGCUAACUACGUG
rnacentral:rRNA from 1 species